CUGUUAUAUUGUUCAAGAAGGGUAUUGCUGUUGAUCGGUUAGUUGGAUUUGAAGACCUUGGAGGUAAAGAUGAUUUUUCUACCAGGGCAUUGGAAAAUAUUCUGAAGAGGAAAGAUUUUAACAGAGAAAAUGUAGGUGCAACAUUUUUUCUCUUAUUGAAUCAGCUAACACAUGGCUGGAGAUCCUAAUCUAAGUGGUCAUUGGUCUCACUUUGUUGCUAGAGGAAUUGGAUUUAGAAGUAGAAGCUUCUGGUUUUCUUCUCUGUCACUCACGUAAUGAUGUGAUGAGGUGCAAAUGUUUAGCAGUGGUCAGUUAAUGUUAUUUCAAUGCCCACAAUCAAUCUUUCCAAAUCAGGUAAUUGCUCUUGUUAUUUUACCAUUUUAUGUGUCAUUUUGUUUUCCUAAUUCUUCACAUCCAUUCCUA